UCGUACAACAGAGGUGCGAGGGCUGUCGCUGACCUUCAAAGGUUGUGCACGCCCAAGUGCUCUCUCACACAUCCAUCAUCUCACCCCCUUUGUGCAUCACCGCGUGGGUCGGUCCCCUUUGCGGGGGAGGGCUUGCGUUUUCACAUAAAACUUGAUACAGUGUAGAAUGUGGUUUUUCAUUUGCGGUCACACGCAAUCAAUA
rnacentral:misc_RNA from 1 species